UUUAUACUUUUAUUUACAAUUUCCCACCUCCAAGAUGAUACACAAAGAUAGUGAUACACAUAACCUAUUUUGUUUUUUAUAUUGUGUCUUAAAAAUAUUAAAUUUAUAUUAACACAUUUUAGUAAUUAAUCCUUAAAUAUGGAUAUAAUAGAAAAUAAAUUGUAUUCAAAUAAUCCAAUUAAUAUAUCUAAUUUAAUAUCAAAAAUAAUUAAUAACGUGAAAAGAAAACAUGCCGAAGGUCUUAGAGAUUUUCCCGAAGUUAAGUUUUUAAAAGAAAAGAUGAUGAACGCUGAUCCUUUAAUUAGUGAAGUGUCGGGAAAAGCUAUCAUGAUGCUUAUUAGUGAUCGAAUAUUAUCUGCUGAUGUAAUUCACACAGAUUUUAUUAGUAGCAUGAAUUCAAUAAAGUGUCUUUCUACUUUAACCAAUAUAUUAGGAGAUUUAUUGUGCUUAUUACCAAAUGAUAAAAACUAUGUAUUCAAGUUGUAUUCUCCUCAACAUCCCUUUAUAACAUUAAUUAUGGAAAAACCAGAUGCAGCUUAUCAUAUUUUUGUCAAGAUACAAAAUUUACUGGAAGAUUUUGAUGGGUCUAUGAUUAACAAAGUAUUUGAACCAUUCUAUUUGUACUGCUUGUGUUGUCCAUCGAGAAAUAAUAUAGAAUUGUUGAGAUGCAGAUUAUGGGCAUUAUUAUUAAAUUCUAAAGAUGCUGGUACACGUUUGUUUGGUAAAAUAAUUUCUUGGUUACAAGUAGAAAAAAAAGAAGAAAUUCAAAUAAUAAAUAAUCACUUCAUAGAGGCGUUAAGAAAUCCAAACAUUGAGACAAUUUUAAAUAUAGAAGUAGUAAUAUUAUGGCACGCGAGUCUUCUUUAUAAUAUGGCACUGUAUAAAUUUGACAUGCAACCAGCUCUAUGCUGUUUACGACAAAUAUUCGAAAACAGAAAAUUGGUUAUGGUCGAUAGUAUACUUCUGAUAUUUUCUCAAAUAAUUGAUGUAUGUUCACCCAUACAUUUGAAAAAUAUACUUUUAACAUGUAAACCGAUGCUAGAUCAAGAAUACGCUUCUUUAUUCGCAUUAGAAACUCUCAAAGCUUCUUUGUUACCGUGGUUAACUUCUCCUUGUACAUUUCUUAAUGAAGCUCAUCAAUUGGCAAAAGAAAUAAUUACAUCAGUGAACAAAACGAAUAACGCAAACUAUAAAUUGAAUGUGAAUGAAAAAAUAAAAGAUUUUUCUUUCAGAUAUAAAAAUCUAAUUUGCACCAAUAAAAUGAUAUUCAUUACCGUUAAUUUAACAUUAAAUUUAGAAAGAUUUUCCGAGGAACAGGACCUCAAGGAAUGGUUGGAAGAAAUUAAACAAAUUCCCGAUGAAUAUACUGUGGAUAUUUUUAAUUUCCUUUGCGGUUUUAUGAUGAUCGAAUACCAAGAUCCAGAAAUAUCUCUAAUAAUUUUAGAGCUUCUACUUAAAUGCGCGGAAAAAGAAAUAAUUUUCUCUUCCAAAUUAUUAACAUUAAUUUUAUACAAGUUAUCGAACAAUCUACAUCCAAACUACCAUUUCGCUCUUUUGAAAUCCUUACCAAAACUAGUAAUUUUUCAAGAUAACAUUCCGAAAGUUAUGGCGUUAAUACGAACAGUUAGUAAAAGAUCGGAAAAUCUUUUUAAUGUUGGAAUUUCUUUGGCUUUCGAUGCAUGGAAAAUUAAUAACAAGUGUUACAUAUAUUUAGAAGAUCUCCUGGUACAUGAUACACCUGUUGAGAAAAAGUGGGAACGAUAUGUAACAAAAGCUUAUGUUUUAAAAGAACUCUGUGACAGAAAGCCUGAACUAUAUGGAAAAGAUGCUGUAGCUCAUUUAUCAAAAAUCUUGAAUGACUGCGAUAAUGAAAAUGGUGCUCUGCCUUGUUCUUUAGCUAUAGAAGCCAUAACAAUCUUAUGCAGAAAUGGAAUUAUCGAUAUACAAACUACUUGGAGUACAUUAGCACCUAAAUUUACGAAUGAUAGACGACUUCCAGUUGUCAAAAGUUUAUGUUCGUUAAUUAAAGAAGUUCCUCAGUUGCUGGAUUCGGAUUCAUAUAAAGAUUUAUUUGAAGCAGUGACAAAAAAAUUAUGGGAAUACGUAGAAUACGGAGAUACCCAAAUAAGCGAAGCUGCUCUUUCGAGUCUGGUAUCAUUUGGGAUUGAACACAUUAGUAAAACUUUACCCGAGAAGUAUCUCGAGCCCGAAAGUGUUUCCACUGCGCAGUCGGUCUUAGGUAAGACAUGGAUAUAUUUUUUAAUCGAAAAUAGGGCGUCAGAUGCAUCUGUACAAUUUAUAAAAAACAUGAUGUCCAUUGAAAUAGAUGGAUAUUUAAAGUAUGUUUAUCAACAGAAAGGACCUAAAGAACCAAUUAACUAUAACUAUUUACCUACUCAUAGUAUAGUUAAAGAAAUAGGAGUAUUUAUUAAAGCAUGGGUAAACAAAUGGAGGGGUAGUAUCCACAAUAAACUCUACAUUGAAUGUCUAAAAAUAUUCAGUGAAGUAUAUAGCAAACCGUUACCCCCAUUAGAUUGGUGUUUCCUACAAGAAUUGAUUCAUGAUCCGAAAACUAAAGAAUAUGCUGUAGAUAUCGCUUCACAUCAGGUAGUGAUGUCCGGUACUGCAAGAAGACUAAUCGACAAUUAUUUAAUAACUGUUACAGAAAAUCCAAAGGAAGAGGAUAUUUUAUUAAUUUUCAAAAAUUUAAAAUAUUUGGUUCGAAGUAUACAACCCAUGAUUUUGAGACCAUUUUUUGAAAUAUCAAUUUGGCAUGUGUUGAAACAAGAUACGGAUGAAUAUAAUUUGAUAGAUGGUAUGUUUGAUCAACUGAAGAUCGUUCUUCGCGAAGAAAACGUACAAGAAACUAAUAAAAUUACCAUAGUUCAAGUUUUGGAUGGUAUAAUUUUUACAACGGAUGUGAAUUCAAAAUUAUUCAAGAAACUGUGCGAAGUUAUGGCUGUUGCCCCUACAAAGUGUUUAAAGGAAGCCACCUGUGUUAAAAUAACCGAUAAUGCAGAGGAUUUUCCAAAAAGUGUUGAAAUGAGAUGUGCCCUAGCUAAAAAUGCCAAAAUGACACCACUCGAUUGGAUAAAUGAUUUAAUUGACGUUUGGAGUAUGAAUUACAGAGUGAAAAACUGAAAAUUCAACACUAAUUACUAACAAUUUUACUGUUGUGAGUUGCUUUGAAUAAGUAAUUACAUAUAUAUGUUAAUAAAACGAAGACCGGUCAAUGAUUCAGUGACUUUAUGUUUGAAUUUGAAUCAGCUGGGACAUUUAUUUUGUGGUUGACAGCAGAUUACUUCCUUCAUUAGAUUACUAUCAAGUUCGAUGGUAAAAAAGUGGUUUGUUGUGAUGCCGAACGUUCUGGUAGUCCAGUUAGUGUAACUAUACCCGAAACUUUUGAAAAAAAAGUCAUGAUAUGAUGGUGGACGAUGGGAAAUUGAAAAGAUACGUCUAUUUGGCCGGAUUUGGUAGAAGUUCUAAAAACGCACAUUAAAAACACCGAAGAAUCCGUACCUUGGUGUCUUGAUUUAAUCGGUCGAAUUCAAGCGAAAGUUGCCGAUAGAUCUGAAGUUUUAGUUAUCAGCUGUCUAUUUGACGUUUUAAUAUACGUUGUUGUACACUUCUCCGGUUUCUACACAUUCAUUAAUAAAAACCGAAACGAGUACAAACAAAUUA